GAUGAAGAACGUAGCGAAAUGCGAUAAGUAAUGUGAAUUGCAGAAUUCAGUGAAUCAUCGAAUCUUUGAACGCACAUUGCGCCCCUUGGUAUUCCGAGGGGCAUGCCUGUUCGAGCGUCAUUAUAACCCCUCAAGCUCAACUUGGUGUUGGGGCCUGCUGCACUGGCAGCCCUUAAAAUCAGUGGCGGCGCCAUCUGGCUCUAAGCGUAGUAAUUCUUCUCGCUAUGGAGUCCUGGUGGAUGCUUGCCAUCAACCCCCAAUUUUUCUAUGGUUGACCUCGGAUCAGGUAGGGAUACCCGCUGAACUUAAGCAUAUCAAUAAGCGGAGGA
rnacentral:misc_RNA from 1 species